rfam:Schistosoma rodhaini strain Burundi genome assembly, scaffold: SROB_scaffold0003809
AUCCAACUGACGAGUCACAAGUAGGACGAAACGCGCGUCAAACUGGAU